rnacentral:rRNA from 1 species
GGACCCGCACAAGCGGUGGAUGAUGUGGUUUAAUUCGAUGCAACGCGAAAAACCUUACCUACCCUUGACAUGCCUGGAAUCCCGCAGAGAUGUGGGGGUGCUCGAAAGAGAGCCAGGACACAGGUGCUGCAUGGCCGUCGUCAGCUCGUGUCGUGAGAUGUUGGGUUAAGUCCCGCAACGAGCGCAACCCUUAUCAUUAGUUGCUACGCAAGGGCACUCUAAUGAGACUGCCGGUGACAAACCGGAGGAAGGUGGGGAUGACGUCAGGUCAUCAUGGCCCUUAUGGGUAGGGCUACACACGUCAUACAAUGGCCGGUACAGAGGGCUGCCAACCCGCGAGGGGGAGCUAAUCUCAGAAAACCGGUCGUAGUCCGGAUCGCAGUCUGCAACUCGACUGCGUGAAGUCGGAAUCGCUAGUAAUCGCGGAUCAGCUUGCCGCGGUGAAUACGUUCCCGGGUCUU